AUUUCACAAUAAAACUUCAUUUCAGACCUCUGUAACAUAGUUUGGUGGUUACCAGAAAAUGAAGUCUCAGCAAAUCAACUGCCAAGCCAUUACGUCAGAGUCUGUCUGAUGGUACAGAUCCCUGACAAUGAGAAGAGACCAGAGAGAAUCACAGUCCAGGCUAACAAGAUGAUGAGGUGUUAGAUAAUAUAGAAGAUGACAGACAACGGGCCAACUACAGCUGCCUGGAAUCUGCACUAUUUACUGUAUGGCAGUUAUGGUCAAGACUGGUCAUCAUCCUCUACUUCUAUUUCAAAGAACUCACCAGCUUCAGGUGGUACCCACAACAUUGUUCCUCCACAUGAAGAUGAUUUCCUUCCCGUUUUGAUUCCAUGUAGAAAGACUGGAGACGUUUAUUACAAGUUCUCAUCAGUUAAAUGUAAAGACACAAGAGAUUGGACAGCUACCAAGUGGGAUAAUGUUAACUCUUACAGUACAGAAAAGCUGAUAACCUUAAUCCUAAUAAUUUUCUGGAUCUUCACUUCCUAAAUUCAAUUGUUUUGUUAAUGUCAUCUUUUUUAGUUAAAGAAUUGAGUUUGAGUUUAAAAACACUACAAGGAACUUGGUGUCUGAUGGUAAUUAGAUGAUGAUAAUUAUCAAGUGUACAAAAUAGCAGUAUCGUGUCAUAGCCUGACCUUAUAACCUUCCUAUGAUAGACUUUCUAAUAUUUAAUUUGGUCCCAACAGGCAAGACCUCGAAAACAACAAUUAAUUAACACAAAAUGGCAAAGUCCUUUCUUGUCCCUUCAGGGAGGAGAUGUACAUGUACAUCACUCCACAAUCCUCAGGGGGCCACAAUCAGCCAACAGUCUCUAGUUCCAUAGUGAAUCCAAACUUCUCAGAAAGUCUAAGCAACUAUUAUCAUAACAGCUGGCCUUUGUAAGAUUGAAACCAAUUAUCUAGCCAUAUGAAAACAAUGCACUUAAAUUAAUUUUCAAACGAAAUUGAAAAUGUCACCUAAGGUGACCUUUCUAGAGAGGUGUUUAUACAAAUGAGGUUACUUUUUUACACAGGUACCUACCACACAGUGGUGUCGAUACUCAUUAUAGAGAAGUGACCUGUUUUAUAGAAAGUAUCAGCUCUCUGUUCUCCACAUGCCUUUAUAAAAUAAACAUGACAAUUACAAACAAAUAUCUGAUACACUUGACUUUUAUUGACAUUUACUUAACCUCUAAAGCAAAAAUUCAUUGCAGACCUUAAUCCACAGGUUUAGUUUUUUGGGUGACCAUUAUAACAGUCUGCUAUUCAAUUAAGACCUUUAUAAACAGGUGACCUCUAUAGACAGAUGAUAUCUACAGACAAGUAUUUGUAAUACAAGUAACCGUUACAGGUCUCUGUAAUACAAGUAUGACCUCUAUAGACAGGUGACCUCUAUAGACAGAUAAUAUCUACAGACAAGUAUUGGUAAUACAAGUAAUCGUUACAGGUCUCUGUAAUACAAGUAUGACCUCUAAAGACAGGUGACCUCUAUAGACAGAUGAUAUCUAGAGACAAGUAUUGGUAAUACAGGUAACCAUUACAGGUCUCUGUAAUACAAGUAUGACCUCUAAAGACAGGUGACCUGUAUGGAUAUAUCUGUGAUACAGAUCAAAGUUCACGCUAAAAAAGUGCUUGUUAUCCAAACCAAGGUAUAUUUAACAAAAUUAUUUCAUACAAUACUCAAAUUACAAACAGCAUACAAAGAGAAUUUGUUUAAAGAAAGCAUGAUUUAAACAGGAAUUUGACAUUACACAAGAUGACAAUGUUACAUUAAGUGAGAUGUACAUGUGACAACUGAACAUUUUUACCAUUCAGUAAUAUCAAAGGAGUGUUACAAGUAAAACCAUUUUUGACAUAACCACAACAAGUUUGAAAAUAAUAUAUAUUGCCUUUCAAUUGUUUGAAACAAAUAAUAAAUACCAUUGCAUUAA